rnacentral:lncRNA from 1 species
CUCUAUCAUUGGCUGGGGGCUGCCCAAGAAGGGCGUGGCCUCUGCUCCAACACUGAGGCAGGUCCUGAGGGCACUAACUGCUGGAGGAUGGCAGCUAACUGUGCCUCCUGCAGCUAAAUGGCAAGUUCUUUCUCGAAGGAAGAUUAAAGCAACACCCCUCCAAGGUUGCCACAUCUCUGGUGCAGUUACAGUUUGGCACCGUACCCGUGACACCUUGCAGUCAUUGGUGACCUUGGAAAAGGCAGAGUUGCAAGAAUGGAAGGCAGAUGAAGGAAAGAAGAGAGCGGUUGGGUAUCAGUUCUGAUCAACAGUAACACGGCUAUUAAAUUACCUUCUCAUCAAGUUUUUGUGAUGACCCCUGAGACACCCUGCAUUAUCUCCUGGUGCCAUGACUGACACAUGGUGGGUUUGCAGUCUGGGGUCACCACAGGACAGGAGGAGAUUGGGGAAUUGGUGAGGAAUCCAUCUACCAUGACAAGAGGCAAAGCUGGAAGGGUAUUUUGCUUUGCUUUAUGCGUUUUAACUCUUAAGAUGCCUUAAAUCUAGUGGAAGUAGAAGUAUAAUUCUCAAGAAAAAAAAUCCUGUCUUGUGGAGCCAAUAUGAAGAUUAAUGUGUUAAUAUUUACACAGAACUUCGAGAACAUGGUGUUCCUAGGAUUACUUCCCAAGUUAAUUACUGGAGCUGGAAUCCUUGCCUCACUCAGAGGUGGGAUCCAGGGAAGAGGAACGAAGACAAUUCUCUCUUCUACUGAGACGUCAUUCGCCCAGGGCCUGAUCAUCUGCGUGUCCUGGUCUCGUAUAGCAACAGACGUGUGCCGAGACGCAGUGACUGCAUAUUCCAGCCAGACAUUCUUCCUGCAUCUGGACCUGCAGCUGGAUGUCUGUGCCAUCAUCCAGCCUGUAAUUAAAUCCAAUUGAGGCUCUAUUCCAUUCUGGAGGCCUUCACUGAUUAGGAUCUGAGGACUGAGUAGAGAAUGUGUGUCUGAUGAUCUUUUCUUUUUAAGUUUUAAGUUUUAAUAUGGAAAUUUUCAAGCAUACACAAAAUUAGACCAGAUAGUAUAAUGAAUUCUUUUGUUCUCAUCACCAAGCUUCAAUAAUUAUCGACAUAUGGCUAAUCCCCUUUCAUUUAUACCCUCUAUCCCCUUUUUGCUGGAUUAUCUUAAAGUAAAUCCAAGACAUCACAUGAUUUCAUCUAUAAAUAUUUCAGUAGAUAUCUCCAACAGAUAAAGUCUCAUAAAAAAUAACAGCAUAAAAGCAUCUGCUAAAACAUACUACUGACAUCAUACUUAAUGAAGAAGGACUGAAAAUUUCCGCCUGAGAUCAGGAACAAGACAAGGACGUCCCCUCAUACCACUUCUAUUCAACAUUUUACUGGAGAUUGUACCCAGGGCAAUUAGGCAAGAAAAAGAAACAACAGUCAUACAGAUUGGAAAGGAAAACAUACUGUUAUCUUUAUUUGCAGAUGACAUGAUCGUGCAUAUAGAAAAUCCUAAGGAAUGACACAAAAAUCUAUUAGAGCUAAUAAAGGAGUACAGCAAGGUUUCA